rnacentral:lncRNA from 1 species
UUGAUUCAUGAUUACGACAAAUUUACGGUUGUAUUCGAGUAUCAAUUUUUAUGCAACAUAAUAACACUACAAAUUAAACUAUACUAUAGCAUGUAUAGCUCUUUGAAAUAAUUAUAAGCAAAUUAAUCAAAUAUUCUACACUUCCUUAUUGGAUUAUUCCAAACUACAACAUAACAAUUUUGCCACUGUAUAAUACAAAUCAACGACAUCUGGUUAAAAAUAUUGUGAACUAUAAAAAAUGAUACUUUUAGCGAAAUUUUAACUCAGAUCAGAAAGUUUUAUUCUAAAUAUUUUCUCAUGAAUCUAAAUAAUCGAGACGUGCUGGAAAGCUUCGUUGAAAUUCGAAAAAGUUUGUGAACAUUAAUACCUUCAGGAAACCAUAUGCGGAAUUACAACCAUGAUUGCUUAUUCUCUAUAAGACUUCUUUGAAUUGUAUUUUUUCAAAAUGAAAUGUGCAAAAUUUACUUUUGACACCCUUCCAGUCGACAAUAAUGUUCGGGACUUUUUAAAACAAAAGAAGUAUUCAUAUAAAACAUUGUAGAAAACAAUAUGUUUUGUUUGUACGGCCCAGAAAUCAGCACUUGUAUGUUAAUAUGAAUUAUCAUUGAUAUGGCCAUAAUUAUCAGCUAUGUUUACGUCAAAACGCCCG